rnacentral:rRNA from 1 species
CUAUAUAAGUAGGUAAUUUAAUUAACAUCUUAGCAGGUACAGAACUGUGAUCUCGAGCAAUUAGUGGCUUAAAGCCAUAUUUUGUAUACAUCGGGGGAUCGUGAAGAUUUUAUCGGAGAGUAUUUGCACUCGAAAGGGUUAAGAUGAAUAUUAAAUAAUCGGACAUAGAACGAUAAGGUUGUAUGUCUAAAGGGAAACAGCCCUAAACAAGAGUUAAUAAGGUUCCAAAAUUAUUGUUAAGUGAAAUAAAGGAUGUGCUUCCAAAUACAAUCAGGAAAUAGGCUUAGAAGCGGCCACUUUUUGAAGAUCUCGUAACAGAGCACUGAUUUAUACAAUAGGAGAUCACACCGAAAAUUCAACGGAUCUAAACAAUAUACCGAAACCUUGUCCAUAUAUAAGCAUAAUGUUAAUUAUAUAUGGGGUAGCGGAACAUUGGAUAAAUCAUUGAUUUAUUCUUUAUAAGAAUAAAAAAUUAGAUAAUUCAAGUGAGAAUGCUGAUAUGAGUAACGAAAAAGAAAUUAAUAAUUGCUCGCCUAAAGCUUAUGGUAUUUGAUUAAAUUUACGGCCUCUAAGGAAAAGUUAAAACAAAUUUCGAUGAGGAAUAGUCGUUGGCAAAACUAAAUUAAAGUGAAAUUAGUUCAGGAAAAUCAACAACAGGCCCAAGGUAAAACCCAAUAAACUAAAAAAGAUGAGGCUUUUUACCAGUGGCAACAUCUGACCGUACCUAAAUACUACCACAAGUAAGCUAGUAGAGAAUACGAAGGC